AAAGUUAACCUUUUUUUAGAA
rnacentral:tRNA from 1 species